rnacentral:lncRNA from 1 species
GGGCCUUCAGUUUGUAAAUGGCCUGAAACUUUAUAUUCAGGGGCAUCAAGUUGUGUUAUAAAUAAUGGACAUACUUCUAAUUUUUUUCAAUUGGAAAGAGGCUGCAGACAAGGGGAUCCUCUAUCACCCUAUUUAUUUAUUAUUGGUGUUGAAUUACUAUCUUUAAAAUUAAAAGAUAAUCCUGAAAUAAGGGGAAUAACUGUAGAUAAUAAUGAAUCACUUUUAAGCCAGUAUGCAGAU